GGGUUGUGAGGUUAAGCGACUAAGCGUACACGGUGGAUGCCCUGGCAGUCAGAGGCGAUGAAGGGCGUGCUAAUCUGCGAUAAGCGCCGGUAAGGUGAUAUGAACCGUUAUAACCGGCGAUACCCGAAUGGGGAAACCCAGUGUGACUCGUCACACUAUCAUUAACUGAAUCCAUAGGUUAAUGAGGCGAACCGGGGGAACUGAAACAUCUAAGUACCCCGAGGAAAAGAAAUCAACCGAGAUUCCCCCAGUAGCGGCGAGCGAACGGGGAGGAGCCCAGAGCCUGAAUCAGCAUGUGUGUUAGUGGAAGCGUCUGGAAAGGCGCGCGAUACAGGGUGACAGCCCCGUACACAAAAGCGCAUGUGCUGUGAGCUCGAUGAGUAGGGCGGGACACGUGGUAUCCUGUCUGAAUAUGGGGGGACCAUCCUCCAAGGCUAAAUACUCCUGACUGACCGAUAGUGAACCAGUACCGUGAGGGAAAGGCGAAAAGAACCCCGGCGAGGGGAGUGAAAAAGAACCUGAAACCGUGUACGUACAAGCAGUGGGAGCACCCUUUGGGUGUGACUGCGUACCUUUUGUAUAAUGGGUCAGCGACUUAUAUUCUGUAGCAAGGUUAACCGAAUAGGGGAGCCGGAGGGAAACCGAGUCUUAAUUGGGCGUUAAGUUGCAGGGUAUAGACCCGAAACCCGGUGAUCUAGCCAUGGGCAGGUUGAAGGUUGGGUAACACUAACUGGAGGACCGAACCGACUAAUGUUGAAAAAUUAGCGGAUGACCUGUGGCUGGGGGUGAAAGGCCAAUCAAACCGGGAGAUAGCUGGUUCUCCCCGAAAGCUAUUUAGGUAGCGCCUCGUGAAUUCAUCUCCGGGGGUAGAGCACUGUUUCGGCUAGGGGGCCAUCCCGGCUUACCAACCCGAUGCAAACUGCGAAUACCGGAGAAUGUUAUCACGGGAGACACACGGCGGGUGCUAACGUCCGUCGUGAAGAGGGAAACAACCCAGACCGCCAGCUAAGGUCCCAAAGUCAUGGUUAAGUGGGAAACGAUGUGGGAAGGCCCAGACAGCCAGGAUGUUGGCUUAGAAGCAGCCAUCAUUUAAAGAAAGCGUAAUAGCUCACUGGUCGAGUCGGCCUGCGCGGAAGAUGUAACGGGGCUAAACCAUGCACCGAAGCUGCGGCAGCGACACUGUGUGUUGUUGGGUAGGGGAGCGUUCUGUAAGCCUGUGAAGGUGUGUCGUGAGGCAUGCUGGAGGUAUCAGAAGUGCGAAUGCUGACAUAAGUAACGAUAAAGCGGGUGAAAAGCCCGCUCGCCGGAAGACCAAGGGUUCCUGUCCAACGUUAAUCGGGGCAGGGUGAGUCGACCCCUAAGGCGAGGCCGAAAGGCGUAGUCGAUGGGAAACGGGUUAAUAUUCCCGUACUUGGUGUUACUGCGAAGGGGGGACGGAGAAGGCUAUGUUGGCCGGG
rnacentral:rRNA from 2 species